UAGUACAACAAACCCCAGAGCAAGGGAUCAGAUCGGCGCCAACCUGUGGGUCAAAUCCUCCUAGCACAUUACAUCAAAUAGCAAAUGUCUAUGAUAAUCUAUAACUAGGCUUCCAAUAAAGUCACAAGUCACCAGAAAGGAUUAUUCAGGUCACAUUCAACAAAAACAUAAAUUCAAAAACUGACAUAAAAGGUUCCACUAGCAAUUCAAUCUUCACUGAGAGGUAAAACCAUAUAAUAUAACAUUCUUCCUCAGGCAGAAGCUUCAAGGAGUUCCCUUCCAUACUUCUUCACACAGCUUGCUCUACGUCCUCCAUGCUAUAAUCACAAGAAACCAAACAAAAUUUGUAAUCAAC
rnacentral:lncRNA from 1 species